UACGGGGGGGGCAAGCGUUGUUCGGAAUUACUGGGCGUAAAGGGUUCGUAGGUGGCCAACUAAGUCAGACGUGAAAUCCCUCAGCUUAACUGGGGAACUGCGUCCGAUACUGGAUGGCUUGAGUUUGGGAGAGGGAUGCGGAAUUCCAGGUGUAGCGGUGAAAUGCGUAGAUAUCAGGAGGAACACCGAUGGCGAAGGCAGGUCUCUGGGCUGACACUGACGCUCAUGCACGAAAGCGUGGGGAGCAAACAGG
rnacentral:rRNA from 1 species